CCCGAAACCGGGUGACCUAUCCAUGUCCAGGUUGAAGUUACCGUAAAAGGUAAUGGAGGACCGAACGCACAUCUGUUGAAAAAGGUGGCGAUGAGGUGUGGAUAGCGGAGAAAUUCCAAUCGAACUCGGAGAUAGCUGGUUCUCCUCGAAAUAGCUUUAGGGCUAGCCUCGAGAGGAGUCUAACGGAGGUAAAGCACUGAACUGACGCGGGGCCCAAAAAGGUUACCAACUCAAAUCAAACUAAGAAUGCCGUCAAGAUACCCUCGGGAGUCAGACUACGGGAGAUAAGUUUCGUGGUCAAAAGGGAAAGAGCCCAGACCGACAGCUAAGGUCCCAAAGUGUGUGUUAAGUGGAAAAGGAUGUGGGAUUUCAUAGACAACUAGGAUGUUGGCUUAGAAGCAGCCAUACAUUUAAAGAGUGCGUAAUAGCUCACUAGUCGAGAGAACCUGCGCCGAAAAUAAUCGGGGCUAAAACACACCACCGAAGCUACGGAUUUCCUGCUUAAGGUAGGAAGUGGUAGAGGAGCAUACUGCAAGGACGAAGCCUGAUUGAGAGAGAAGGUGGACGAAGCAGUAGAGAGAAUGCCGGAAUGAGUAGCGAGAUAUAUGUGAGAACCAUAUAGGCCGAAUAUCUAAGGUUUCCUGAGUGAAGCUAAUCUGCUCAGGGUAAGUCGGGACCUAAGGCGAGGACGAGAGUCGUAGUCGAUGGACAACUGGUAGAGAUUCCAGUACUAUGUAUAAUCAGAACUGUGGGGACGCAGGAGGAUAGAUGGACCGCGGAAAGGGAAGACGCGGCCAAGUACAAAGUCAAGUUAGGUAGGCAAAUCCGCCAAAUGAUGAUGAAGUACGACGGGGACUGAAAGAAAGUAAGGAAGUCAUUGAAUCCACACUGCCGAGAAAAGCCGCUAUAGUGUUAUACAUACCCGUACCGUAAACCGACACAGGUAGAUGAGGAGAAAAUCCACAGGCCGACGGGAGAAGUGUUGUUAAGGAACUCGGCAAAAUGACCCCGUAACUUAGGGAGAAGGGGAGCCACGAGAGUGGUCACAGAAAAGAGGCUCAAGCAACUGUUUAGCAAAAACACAGGUCUCUGCGAAACCGAAAGGUGAAGUAUAGGGGCUGACACCUGCCCGGUGCUGGAAGGUUAAAAGGAGAGGUUAGCCGCAAGGCGAAGCUUUGAAUUCAAGCCCCAGUAAACGGCGGCCGUAACUAUAACGGUCCUAAGGUAGCGAAAUUCCUUGUCAGGUAAGUUCUGACCCGCACGAAAGGUGUAAUGAUUUGAGCACUGUCUCGACAACACGCCCGGUGAAAUUGAAGAACCAGUGAAGAUACUGGUUACCCGCAACAGGACGGAAAGACCCCAUGGAGCUUUACUGCAGCCUGAUACUGGGAUUCGAUGAUGUAUGUACAGGAUAGGAGGGAGACAGAGAAGGUAGGACGCCAGUCUUGCCGGAGUCGCCGGUGGGAUACCUCUCUUACAUCAUUGGAUUUCUAACCUGCAUCCGUGAACCGGAUGAGGGACAAUGUCAGGCGGGCAGUUUGACUGGGGCGGUCGCCUCCAAAAGAGUAACGGAGGCGCUCAAAGGU
rnacentral:rRNA from 1 species